ACCUUCGAUAGCUCAGUUGGUAGAGCGGAGGACUGUAGAUCCUUAGGUCGCUGGUUCAAAUCCGGCUCAAGGAG